UUGGAUUAAGUAUCAGCUAUACUUUUUGAU
rnacentral:piRNA from 1 species